rnacentral:rRNA from 1 species
UACGUAGGGUGCGAGCGUUGUCCGGAAUUGUUGGGCGUAAAGAGCUCGUAGGCGGUGUGUCGCGUCGGCCGUGAAAACCUGCAGCUUAACUGUGGGCUUGCGGUCGAUACGGGCAUCACUGGAGUUCGGCAGGGGAGACUGGAAUUCCUGGUGUAGCGGUGAAAUGCGCAGAUAUCAGGAAGAACACCCGUGGCGAAGGCGGCUCUCUGGGACGGUACUGACGCUGAGACGCGAAAGCGCGGGGAGCGAACAGG